UACGGGAGGCAGCAGUGGGGAAUAUUGCACAAUGGGCGCAAGCCUGAUGCAGCCAUGCCGCGUGUAUGAAGAAGGCCUUCGGGUUGUAAAGUACUUUCAGUCGUGAGGAAGGUGUUAAGGUUAAUAACCUUAGCAAUUGACGUUAGCGACAGAAGAAGCACCGGCUAACUCCGUGCCAGCAGCCGCGGUAAUACGGAGGGUGCGAGCGUUAAUCGGAAUUACUGGGCGUAAAGGGCACGCAGGCGGUUAAUUAAGUUGGAUGUGAAAUCCCCGGGCUUAACCUGGGAAUGGCAUUCAAGACUGGUUAGCUAGAGUCUUGUAGAGGGGGUUAGAAUUCCAUGUGUAGCGGUGAAAUGCGUAGAUAUCUGGAGGAAUACCUGUGGCGAAAGCGGCCUCUAAACGGAUACUGACACUGAGUGCGAAAGCGUGGGGAGCGAAAC
rnacentral:rRNA from 1 species